CGAGGAAUGGGAGGGGGAACUCAAGAUAAACUUUGGAUCUCAUCUGCAGAUGUCAAGAAAACAAUCUGGAAGAUGCGGUUUCUGUUAACUGCUAAGCAAGCAAAAUGCAGAUGCUUAUUCAGAGCUCUGCAUUUUGGAAAAUCGCACCUGACGUGAACAGAACUUGUCAUUUGGCGUGCGUUCCCCAUUGUUCCUUUCAGAGUCAAUUUUCAAGGCUGCAAGCAGUGAAGAACCCCACUUUUCCAGAGGAUGUUACUUUGGAUUCUACUCCUGAAGGAUUGUGUCUACCCUGCAAACUAUGCAAAAUAUUACUGAUUCUGAACCUGGAGGGAAAACGAUGCAGAUCUCCCUUAGAAGUUAUUGGGAGCUUUAAGAGGAGAGCUGGAGAAUGCGGUGGGAAAAUCAGAGUGAAUAUUACCAGGUCACAUACCCAGGUUUCAUGCUACAUUACCCUUUGUGUAUUACAAUGCAGUGCCUUUUAAUUAUAGCUGAGUUUUCCCCCCUUUUUUCCACCCUCAUCAUUAAGAUAAUUUCUAAUAGUUGGGUGAAAUCCAUUUUUCUUGUAUAUUUUAGAUCCGUAGAGUUGAAACUUCUUUUUCUCCCUCAAGAAACAGAGUACAAAUUCACCUUUUUACCAACCUUUAGUAAUAUAAAAUAUAUGAUAAUAAAAUAUAAGGACACACAUACUGUGUAUUUCCC
rnacentral:lncRNA from 1 species